rnacentral:lncRNA from 1 species
UAAUAAAAUAUUUUAAUAUAACCCAUCCAUCUAUUUAUUUCUAAAUUAAAAAAUAAUCUAAUUUUAUUUAUAUCUCUAUAUUUUAAAUCAUAUUAAAUAAAUUUAUCUACUUAAAAAAUAUUUCAAUAUAAUUCUAUCGUUCACUUAUCAAUAAAUAAUGAUAGUAUUUUAUUUCAAUGGAUAAAAAUAUCUUUCACUUAUAGAUAAAUUUGAAGACGGGAGAAGAUGAAAAAGAGAAAUGGCAUGGAUAAGUAUGAAAAGAGAGGGACCACCAACGAGCAAUAGGUUGAAGGAAGAGAAGGAGGACAGGGAAAAAGAAGGAGAUAAAGAAGGAUGGAUUGCCAACAAGAAAAGAUGGAGAUAGAGGGGCCAUCAUGGAUGGGGAUGACUUAUGGGUUGUUUGAAGAAGAAAAAGGAUGAAGAAAAAAAAUGAAUGAGAAGGAAGAGGAGGUAGAAGAAUGGAUAGAUAUAGAGAGAGCCACUAUUAAAAAGGAGAAAUGGAUGAAGAGAAAGGAAAGAAAGAAUGAUGGAUUGUCAAUAAGAAAGGCAGGUAUGAAAGGAUUUGUAGAGAAAUAAAGCUCAUGGAUGGGCUUAGAAAAUGAAGAGGAUGAAGAGGAGAGAGGAUGAGAAAGAAAAGGAGGAAGGGAGAGUGGCCACCAGCAAGAAAUGGUUUGGAUAAGGAGAAGAAGAAGAUUGAAAGAAAGAGAAGGAGAAAGAUGAGUUACCGGCGAAAAGAGAUAAAGAUGGAGGGAGACAUCAUAGAGGGGGAUGGUUUUAGAUGACUUGAAGUGGAGAAAGAUGAGGAAGAAGAGAAUGAGGUGAAGGAUUGGAUGGGGUGAAGAGAGCUGCCAUGGGGAGAAAAAAAUGGAUAGGGAAGAAGGAGAGGAAGAGGAAAGAGGAGAAAAAAAGAUGGAUGUCGGUGACAGGAGGGCAUUAAUUGGAGAGGAGAGAGGAGAGAAAAUGAAAGAGAUGGAGAUAAGAAU